rnacentral:rRNA from 1 species
AAAUUGAAGAGUUUGAUCAUGGCUCAGAUUGAACGCUGGCGGCAGGCCUAACACAUGCAAGUCGAACGGUAACAGGAAGCAGCUUGCUGCUUCGCUGACGAGUGGCGGACGGGUGAGUAAUGUCUGGGAAACUGCCUGAUGGAGGGGGAUAACUACUGGAAACGGUGGCUAAUACCGCAUAACGUCGCAAGACCAAAGAGGGGGACCUUCGGGCCGUCUUGCCGUCAGAUGUGCCCAGAUGGGAUUAGCUUGUUGGUGAGGUAACGGCUCACCAAGGCG